GGCCGCGGUAAUACGGAGGGUGCUAGCGUUGUUCGGAAUUACUGGGCGUAAAGAGUGCGUAGGCUGUUCAGCAAGUUGGUAGUGAAAUCCCGGGGCUUAACCUCGGAAUUGCUUUCAAAACUGCUGGACUAGAGUAUGGUAGGGGAUAGUGGAAUUCUUAGUGUAGGGGUGAAAUCCGUAGAUAUUAAGAGGAACACCAGAGGCGAAGGCGACUAUCUGGGCCAUUACUGACGCUAAGGUACGAAAGCGUGGGGAGCAAACA
rnacentral:rRNA from 1 species